AUUGAACGCUAGCGGGAUGCUUUACAAAUGCAAGUCGAACGAAUGGCGGACGGGUGAGUAAUCUAUCGGAACGUGCCCAGUAGCGGGGGAUAACUACUCGAAAGAGUGGCUAAUACCGCCUACUAUUGGGACAGCCAUUAUCGGAUUAGCUAGUUGGUGGGGUAAAGGCUCACAAAGGCACCGAUCCGUAGCUGGUUUGAGAGGAAGACCAGCCACACUGGGAAUGAGACACGGCCCAGACUCCUACGGGAGGCAGCAGUGGGGAAUUUUUGACAAUUGGGGAAACCCUGAUCCAGCCAUCCCGCGUGUAUGAGAAGGCCUUCGGGUUGUAAAGUACUUUUGGCAGAGAAGCGUUAUCUGCAGAAUAAGCACCGGCUAACGACGUGCCAGCAGCCGCGGUAAUUC
rnacentral:rRNA from 1 species